rnacentral:snoRNA from 1 species
UAGCUGUGAUGAUAUCUGUGCGUCUAUGCGGUGAUAAGGGUCUCUGCUGUUUUCCGACUUUACAGGACGAUGAGUUGUGCAUCUGAGCUU